rnacentral:rRNA from 1 species
AUUGAACGCUGGCGGCAGGCUUAACACAUGCAAGUCGAGCGAGCGGCGGACGGGUGAGUAAUGUCUGGGAAACUGCCUGAUGGAGGGGGAUAACUACUGGAAACGGUAGCUAAUACCGCAUACCAUCAGAUGUGCCCAGAUGGGUUUAGCUAGUAGGUGGGGUAAUGGCUCACCUAGGCGACGAUCCCUAGCUGGUCUGAGAGGAUGACAAGCCACACUGGAACUGAGACACGGUCCAGACUCGUACGGGAGGCAGCAGUGGGGAAUAUUGCAAAAUGGGCGCAAGCCUGAUGCAGCCAUGCCGCGUGUAUGAAGAAGGCCUUAGGGUUGUAAAGGACUUUCAGCGAGGAGGGGGGAGUCGAAGAAGAAGCACCGGCUAACUCCGUGCCAGCAGCCGCGGUAAUAG